GAAUGCUCUAGAUUAAGUUGAUCAUGGCUCAGAUCUGAACGCUGGCGUGCCAAGCCUAACACAUGCAAGUCGAACGGUAACAGGAAGCAGCUUGCUGCUUCGCUGACGAGUGGCGGACGGGUGAGUAAUGUCUGGGAAACUGCCUGAUGGAGGGGGAUAACUACUGGAAACGGUAGCUAAUACCGCAUAACGUCGCAAGACCAAAGAGGGGGACCUUCGGGCCUCUUGCCAUCGGAUGUGCCCAGAUGGGAUUAGCUAGUAGGUGGGGUAACGGCUCACCUAGGCGACGAUCCCUAGCUGGUCUGAGAGGAUGACCAGCCACACUGGAACUGAGACACGGUCCAGACUCCUACGGGAGGCAGCAGUGGGGAAUAUUGCACAAUGGGCGCAAGCCUGAUGCAGCCAUGCCGCGUGUAUGAAGAAGGCCUUCGGGUUGUAAAGUACUUUCAGCGGGGAGGAAGGCGAUAAGGUUAAUAACCUUGUCGAUUGACGUUACCCGCAGAAGAAGCACCGGCUUAAACUCCGUGCCAGCAGCCCGCGGGUAAUACGGGAGGGUGCACAGCGUUUAUUCCGGAAUUACCUGGGGCCGUAAAAAGCGGCACAGCCGGCGC
rnacentral:rRNA from 1 species